rnacentral:rRNA from 1 species
GGGAUAUUGGGCAAUGGGGGUAACCCUGACCCAGCCAUGCCGCGUGAGGGAAUGAGGCCCUACGGGUCGUGAACCUCUUUUGCUCGGGGACAAGGACGGCGUCGCGAACGCCGUUUGAGGGUACCGAGGGAAUAAGCGUCGGCUAACUCCGUGCCAGCAGCCGCGGUAAUACGGAGGACGCGAGCGUUAUCCGGAUUCAUUGGGUUUAAAGGGUGCGCAGGCGGCCGGCCAAGUCAGCGGUGAAAGCCCGGGGCCCAACCCCGGAAGUGCCGUGGAUACUGGUUGGCUGGAAUGCGGUCGAGGCGGGCGGAACGUGGCGUGUAGCGGUGAAAUGCGUAGAUAUGCCACAGAACGCCGAUAGCGGAGGCAGCUCGCCAGGCCUGCAUUGACGCUCGGGCACGAAAGCGUGGGGAUCGAACA